rnacentral:rRNA from 1 species
GACGAACGCUGGCGGCGUGCUUAACACAUGCAAGUCGAGCGGAGCGGCGAACGGGUGAGUAACGCGUGAGUAACUGCCCCCCUCUCUGGGAUAACAGUUGGAAAAGGCUGCUAAUACAGGAUAGUGGGGGAUGACUCGCGUCCUAUCAGCUUGUUGGUGGGGUAGUGGCCUACCAAGGCGACGACGGGUAGGCGGCCGGAGAGUGCGACCGGCCACAUUGUGCUGUGAUGCGGCGCAAACACCUACGGGAGGAAGCAGGGUGGAAUAUUGACCCAUGGGGGAGAGCCUGAUGUAGCAGGGCCGCGUGCGGGAUGACGGCCUGCGGGUUGUAGACCGCUAUCAGCCAUGGCGCGGUAGUGGGAGAAGAAGCACCGGCUAACUACGUGCCAGCAGCCGCGGUAAUUC